AAAAAGAUAUUGGAGAUGGUAGAUCUAGUCCUUGUCAUAGAGGAACUAACCAACCACAGCCGUCCCUGAGAGUUCUGUAGUCAUUGCCAAUUCACUAAUUUCAGAGAUUCGUGCCCAGUUAUAGUAUGUGAAAACCCAACAGCUUACUUUAACAUGCGAAGAUUAGAGCAGAGCACUAUCACUUUUAUCACAUUAUCGCAUUUAACAAGUGCGGCCACAGCACCCAGCUGCUUACUGGAUGCAUGGAGAAUUAUUGAGAAUGUUUUAUGUUCAUUUGAUGUGUGCAUUUCGGGUGGGGUCCAUAAUUUAGAUUAGAUUCUGCGAGGAGUGUGUAGCUGGGGAAAUGAUUAAGAACUUUUUUUUACACAAGCCCCUUCCUGCUGCGAUGCUGGGCUUGUUUUGUAAGUAUCCGGUGUCCCAGCUGGGUGCCCUGCUUUCAGACCCUUAUUUUCCACAACACACUAGGCCCUUCCUCUUCUACAGCCAUUCCCCACAGCACACCACCCUGUGUCCUAGCCCUUGGGAGCUGCUGCUGUUCAUCUCUUGUUCACAACACACAGGCUCUUACCAUCUAUUUUUAUGCACCAGCUUCCCCCCUUCUCAGAUCAUAAGACACCUGUGCCUAGGAACUCCAUCUUUAUAAUUCACGGUUAAUCGAUUAUGCACUGGACAAACUUUGAUAUGUGCUGAGCGCAUGGCCUUACUGUUCACAGUGCUGCCAAGUGGAGCAGCCAGCUCCCACCCCCAGGACUGCCUCUUGAUAAAAGCUUCAAGAGCCUUUGCAGAACGCACAGAAUGAAAACUUCAAUGCCAGCAUAAUAAUUCAUCUCUGAGGAGAUACUUGGCUUCCUGCCCCUUUGACGGGUCCUGUCAUAGUCAUAGUUGUUUCUCCCUCCGCAGUGGAAAGGACCAUGCUGGACUUCCCUCAGCACGUGUCGUCUGACAGAGAAGUGCGGGCUGCAAGCACAGAAGCGGACAAAAGGCUUUCUCGUUUUGAUAUUGAGAUGAGCAUGAGAGAAGAUGUAUUUCAGAGAAUUGUUCAUUUACAAGUAAGUAAUAGAUUACAGGUAACACAUCCCUUGGGAAGGAAGAGAAAACACAUAACAAGAAGUAAGGUCCUGGGACUAAAGAGAAAACUCGACAGGUGUUUUAAGAGCUCAGCAGUCCUUGCUACUCUGGCUGAGGGCCCAUGUUUGGUUCCCAUACCCACAUUGAGUGGCUCACUGCAGCUCCAGGGCAUCCAAACCCUCUCUAGCCUCUGAGAUCCACCAGCAUGCACACACAGACACAUACAAACAUGUAAAUGUUUUCAUAAGUAAGAACCUGGGGGCUGAGUGAAGGUCAUGGUAAAGCGUGUGUAUGUACAGGUCCUGGGUUUUGGUUGUUAAACCUACCAGUCAAGAAUAAGACCACUACUGUAGCUUAAGCCCAAAUUUGAAGCAUGCUUUAGUUAAAUACUGGCCAGGUUAACGAACUCUAUAGGCAGGUUUGUCUAGAAAAUGUCCCCAAGUCACAUUUUGCAGGGGCUUAAAAAGAGUUCCAGUCAGGGCCAAGUAUACAUCCUGACAUAUCUCCUGCCCACACACCUCCCGCCACACGUGAUCAAGCACAUCCAGCGUAGUUGGGUCAAACACACUUGUUUAGAGGAGUGAAAACAAACGGCUUGUUAGAUGUCACAAACAGUAGCAUUCAGCAUCUCGAGAAAUGUCUGUCCUUGGGCAAGGGGCUGAUAGGUUAGAGGCAUUUUUCUUUCCUGGCUCUCUUAAGCACAGUAAUUACACCUUAAAUUGUAACUUUGGCUCUAACAGGUGCAGUUCAUGCUAGAGCAGGCAUGUAUGUGUGCAGGGCCCUGGGGGCUGUUAGAGUUUAUGGUGGGGUGUGUGCUUGUGCGCGCGUGCGCGUGCAUGCGUGUAUCCAGGGCCCUGGCUUUAACCUGUUAGACUAAAAGAAGAAGAGAUGAGGACCUUUAACCAAAAGUAAAAAAUACUUGAAUUUUUCUAGAAUUUGUUUUCAACAAUUAUGUUAGUUGGCAUUGUAUAGUUAUUUCCAGAAUUGUUUUAUAUUGGGUACGUUUGUGUUGAGUUCUUGAUUGCAUUUCCUUAGGAUUAGGGAUGAAUGUAAAGGGCGCACAUCCACAAAUCUAAGCCUUUUUAAGCCAUCACGAACUGUUAGCCGGAUAGAAAAACCUCUCUGACUUUUCAGAUUAUUUCAUGGUUCAUAGUAGACCAAAUCAGUUAGAUACAGAUGACAUGGAGUUGCUAUCUGAGGAUCUUGUGCUCUGGACUGUAGUAUUGAUAAUAUACUGCUAAUGUGCCAGAGCCAUUCUACCUAUCUCCUUAAAGUCUCCGGGACUCACAGACAUUCCGCGUGAUGAACGUCCUAGGUGAAUUUGCUUUCGAUGUUUUGUUUCUAAAGCAACAUUGCCUCCUUAGCGUGGCAAGUGUCCCUUUCUCCUGAUUCUUAUUUCCCUGACAUUCCCAGCAUUCCCGUGAAAUUACUAGAAAUCUGCAAAAUCAGAAAUAUAAAAAACUUUGUUUUUAUGACUAGUUGAAAUAGGUUUUGGUUUUUGUUACUUUUGUUAACUUGUGUUUAAUGUGCAGCUCCUAACAGAGCACAGCAUGGUGACUUUGGCUUCUCAGUAUACCGACUGUUUAGUUUCUCAUGCCAGCUGAUCAUUGUCACCCUACAGUUGAUAAUCAGUAUGGUUCAUCCUUGGCACU
rnacentral:lncRNA from 1 species